GAGUUUGAUCCUGGCUCAGGAUGAACGCUGGCGGCGUGCUUAACACAUGCAAGUCGAACGAAGCGCCUUAUUUGAUUUUCUUCGGAACUGAAGAUUUGGUGACUGAGUGGCGGACGGGUGAGUAACGCGUGGGUAACCUGCCCUGUACAGGGGGAUAACAAUCAGAAAUGACUGCUAAUACCGCAUAAGACCACAGCACCGCAUGGUGCAGGGGUAAAAACUCCGGUGGUACAGGAUGGACCCGCGUCUGAUUAGCUGGUUGGUGAGGUAACGGCUCACCAAGGCGACGAUCAGUAGCCGGCUUGAGAGAGUGAACGGCCACAUUGGGACUGAGACACGGCCCAAACUCCUACGGGAGGCAGCAGUGGGGAAUAUUGCACAAUGGGGGAAACCCUGAUGCAGCAACGCCGCGUGAGUGAAGAAGUAUUUCGGUAUGUAAAGCUCUAUCAGCAGGGAAGAAAGUGACGGUACCUGACUAAGAAGACCCCGGCUAACUACGUGCCAGCAGCCGCCGC
rnacentral:rRNA from 1 species